CUGAAACACCAGUUCCCAUACAAUUAUUGAAGUUAAGCAAUGUCAAUCCUGGUCAGUACUGAGAUGAGUGAUCUCUUGGGAAUAUCAGGUGCU